CGAAAACUUUACCAUGCGGGAAACCGUGAUAGGGGAACUCUGAGUGCCCGUAAAAUCGGGCUGUCCAUUUGUUUAAAUAACAGGUGAAGAAAGGGCCGGGCAAGACCGGUGCCAGCCGCCGCGGUAAUACCGGCGGCUCGAGUGGUGGCCACUAUUACUGGGCUUAAAGCGUUCGUAGCUGGUUUGUUAAGUCUCUGGGGAAAUCUUCCGGCUCAACCGGAAGGCGUCUCAGGGAUACUGGCAGACUUGGGACCGGGAGAGGUGAGAGGUACUCCAGGGGUAGGAGUGAAAUCCUGUAAUCCUUGGGGGACCACCUGUGGCGAAGGCGUCUCACCAGAACGGCUCCGACAGUGAGGGACGAAAGCUGGGGGAGCAAACCGGAUUAGAUACCCGGGUAGUCCCAGCUGUAAACGAUGCACGUUAGGUGUAUCGGUGACCACGAGUCACCGAGGUGCCGAAGAGAAAUCGUGAAACGUGCCGCCUGGGAAGUACGGUCGCAAGGCUGAAACUUAAAGGAAUUGGCGGGGGAGCAC
rnacentral:rRNA from 1 species